rnacentral:piRNA from 1 species
CUGUUGUUUAAGCCACCUAGUUGAUGGU